AGGAGCAAGUGCAAGCCCUGGAGACGAGCCGAAGGGGCCCGAAGCCCCGAGAAGGGCAGGAUGCGAUGCUGGGUGUAUGACGUCAGCCAUGGAAGGGACACCUGCCACCGGGGGGCUGAGCCGUCGGGCCUUUGGCUGUGGAGGGAAAAGCGUGGCCACUUGCUGGAGCUGGGAACGUGCAGUGAUGAGCACUAGGACAAGAGGACCAUGGCAAACAGACACAGAAGGACAGCAUUGAGUUCAAUGCCUCAAAAUUGCUGCGCUUUCCUUCUGCCAGUGCCCAGAGAUGCUCCCCACACCACGCUGUGCUACCAGGGGAUGUCAGAGGUGAUUCAAGACAGUUUCUCCUACCUCUUCAGUGCCUCUUUCAGCAAUAUGAAGUUAAAACCAGAGGAAUGAUCAGUGGAGCUUUCUAUUCUGCCACCUUUCUCUGCCUCUCUCCAAUCCUCUUACCUUUUUCACACAGCCUUCAUGGUUAUCACAGUGACUGAAGAUG
rnacentral:lncRNA from 1 species